CCUACGGGCGGCUGCAGUGGGGAAUAUUGGACAAUGGGGGCAACCCUGAUCCAGCCAUGCCGCGUGUGUGAAGAAGGCCCUCGGGUUGUAAAGCACUUUCAGUGAGGAAGAACGCCUGGUGGUUAAUACCCAUCAGGAAAGACAUCACUCACAGAAGAAGCACCGGCUAACUCCGUGCCAGCAGCCGCGGUAAUACGGAGGGUGCGAGCGUUAAUCGGAAUUACUGGGCGUAAAGCGCGCGUAGGUGGCUUGAUAAGCCGGUUGUGAAAGCCCCGGGCUCAACCUGGGAACGGCAUCCGGAACUGUCAAGCUAGAGUGCAGGAGAGGAAGGUAGAAUUCCCGGUGUAGCGGUGAAAUGCGGAGAGAUCGGGAGGAAUACCAGUGGCGAAGGCGGCCUUCUGGACUGACACUGACACUGAGGUGCGAAAGCGUGGGUAGCAAACAGGAUUAGAUACCCUGGUAGUC
rnacentral:rRNA from 1 species